UCUCUUGUGCUCGGGCGGUACUGUCGACAGUGAGGGAAACCGAGUCACAGUUAUUUGCUAUUUGAAAACUGAAGUUCAUACUUGUCCGGGCCUUUAUGGUCUCGGCAAUUUUUGUCAUACCCUCUCCACCUCCCCACCGCUGCUUUAUGGU
rnacentral:snRNA from 1 species